GACGAACGCUGGCGGCGUGCUUAACACAUGCAAGUCGAGCGGUAAGGCCUCUUCGGGGGUUCACGAGCGGCGCACGGGGGAGUAACACGCGGGUGACCUUCCCUCAGCUCGGGGAUAAGCCUGGGAAACUGGGCCUAAUACCGGAAAUGACCCUUCCGGGCAUGGGGGUUGGUGGAAAGUGUUUUCGGCUGGGGAUGGGCCUGCGGCCUAUCAGCUUGUUGGUGGGGUGAUGGCCUACCAAGGCGACGACGGGUAACCGGCCUGAGAGGACGACCGGCCAAACUGGGACGGAGGCACGGGUCGGGCACCUACGAGAGGGAGCGGUAGCGUGUAUUACGCAAGGGGCGGGAGCGAGGCGGAGCUACGCAGCGUGAGGGACGACGGCCUGCGGGUUAGGACCGUCUGUCGACCCCGACGAAUUUGGACGUUAGCGGUAGAAGAAGCACCGGCCAACUACGUG
rnacentral:rRNA from 1 species